rnacentral:rRNA from 2 species
AGAGUUUGAUCCUGGCUCAGGACGAACGCUGGCGGCGUGCUUAACACAUGCAAGUCGAACGAUGAUGCACCAGCUUGCUGGUGUGGAUUAGUGGCGAACGGGUGAGUAACACGUGAGUAACCUGCCCCUGACUCUGGGAUAAGCGCUGGAAACGGUGUCUAAUACUGGAUAUGACUCAUGACCGCAUGGUCUGUGGGUGGAAAGGGUUUUACUGGUUGGGGAUGGACUCGCGGCCUAUCAGCUUGUUGGUGAGGUAAUGGCUCACCAAGGCGACGACGGGUAGCCGGCCUGAGAGGGUGACCGGCCACACUGGGACUGAGACACGGCCCAGACUCCUACGGGAGGCAGCAGUGGGGAAUAUUGCACAAUGGGCGAAAGCCUGAUGCAGCAACGCCGCGUGGGGGAUGACGGCCUUCGGGUUGUAAACCUCUUUUGUCAGGGAAGAAGCUUCUUGUAAGUGACGGUACCUGGAGAAAAAGCACCGGCUAACUACGUGCCAGCAGCCGCGGUAAUACGUAGGGUGCGAGCGUUGUCCGGAAUUAUUGGGCGUAAAGAGCUCGUAGGCGGUUUGUCACGUCUGCUGUGAAAUCUGGAGGCUCAACCUCCAGCCUGCAGUGGGUACGGGCAGACUAGAGUGCGGUAGGGGAGAUUGGAAUUCCUGGUGUAGCGGUGGAAUGCGCAGAUAUCAGGAGGAACACCGAUGGCGAAGGCAGAUCUCUGGGCCGCUACUGACGCUGAGGAGCGAAAGGGUGGGGAGCAAACAGGCUUAGAUACCCUGGUAGUCCACCCCGUAAACGUUGGGAACUAGAUGUGGGGGCCUUUCCACGGUCUCCGUGUCGCAGCUAACGCAUUAAGUUCCCCGCCUGGGGAGUACGGCCGCAAGGCUAAAACUCAAAGGAAUUGACGGGGGCCCGCACAAGCGGCGGAGCAUGCGGAUUAAUUCGAUGCAACGCGAAGAACCUUACCAAGGCUUGACAUAUACGAGAACGGGCCAGAAAUGGUCAACUCUUUGGACACUCGUAUACAGGUGGUGCAUGGUUGUCGUCAGCUCGUGUCGUGAGAUGUUGGGUUAAGUCCCGCAACGAGCGCAACCCUCGUUCUAUGUUGCCAGCACGUAAUGGUGGGAACUCAUGGGAUACUGCCGGGGUCAACUCGGAGGAAGGUGGGGAUGACGUCAAAUCAUCAUGCCCCUUAUGUCUUGGGCUUCACGCAUGCUACAAUGGCCAGUACAAUGGGCGGCGAUACCGUGAGGUGGAGCGAAUCCCAAAAAGCUGGUCCCAGUUCGGAUCGUAGUCUGCAACUCGACUACGUGAAGUCGGAGUCGCUAGUAAUCGCAGAUCAGCAACGCUGCGGUGAAUACGUUCCCGGGCCUUGUACACACCGCCCGUCAAGUCAUGAAAGUCGGUAACACCCGAAGCCGGUGGCCUAACCCUUGUGGAGGGAGCUGUCGAAGGUGGGACCGGUAAUUAGGACUAAGUCGUAACAAGGUAGCCGUACCGGAAGGUGCGGCUGGAUCACCU